UACGUAGGGGGCGAGCGUUGUCCGGAAUCAUUGGGCGUAAAGAGCUCGUAGGCGGCUUGUCACGUCGGGUGUGAAAGCUCGGGGCUUAACCCCGGGUCUGCAUUCGAUACGGGCUGGCUGGAGUGUGGUAGGGGAGAUCGGAAUUCCUGGUGUAGCGGUGAAAUGCGCAGAUAUCAGGAGGAACACCGGUGGCGAAGGCGGAUCUCUGGGCCAUUACUGACGCUGAGGAGCGAAAGCGUGGGGAGCGAACAGG
rnacentral:rRNA from 1 species